AUACAUCACACAGAUAAAUAGAAAUACAAUUAUAAACCUUGUGACACUUAGUGCAGGAUGAUGUCACUACUUGAGGUGACACUUAAUAAACUCCAGUGAAAGAUGAUAAACACAUAAACCGCCUUCUUAUGAACCUGGAUGAAUGACCCGUGAUCAACAAUUCAUACAUUAACUAAUUUAAUCAUGUUUGUUCUGGUAGUCGUGACAUUGACAUAUUUUAUCAACAGUGACUUUAAUGCGGCCUUUUGGAUUUUAGACUCAAACUCCAACAAACACCUCACAGCUGAAUGUUUUAACAAAAGAAUCGGUUCUAGUGACGCUGAUUUAAAAAAGAAAAAGGUGAAAUAAAAGAAAACAAAAGGAUUAAAUGAAAUAAACUUUUGAUACUUUGUGCUUUAGAGAAAACUCUGCAGUCAGAGCGUGAGAAGAAGAAGCACAAGGCUUCUCAGAAUAACCUUUCCUGUUCCCCUUCACACAUAAAAAAAGACAUGUUGCUGUUGGUUGUGUGGUGUCACAUGACCACGUUCACACCAGGGCUCAUCCGCUUCUACAGACGUGUGAUACUCUGUGAAAAACCCGAGAAGCAUCCGGCCUCCAGUCGAAUGCGUCGUAAAGGAGAGGACCACAAAGGAGGCGCGUACCUUCUUGUUCUCCUCUCUGUAGGCCGCCGUGGCUUUACGUACAUGGAGAAGCAGCCUUUUUCAGCUCCACGUAUCUGGAACAAAGUCUCAGAAAGCUGCAGGUCUGCUGGGUCCCUCAGCUCCAUUAAAUCCAAAUCAAAGACUUUUCUUUUUGCUGCUGCCUUAAAUUUCUCGCUCUCUGCUGGUCAGCUGCAGCUUCACGCUGUGUGUUUCUCCGUCGCUCUGGAGACGCCGGCGGUUCACCACCACAACCACCAGAGGUCUCAGAUCCUGCAGAGGAGAGAGGACCACAGGCAUCAUCAAGUGUGGAGGAAACCUUUUUACGGAAGCAGUGAGAGAGAAGAGCACAGGUACUCCGUUACGCUCCAUUACAUCACUGCAACAACUUCUCACCUACAAACUCACCUCCGGACCAGACAAACUUCACACGACUGUACAGAGUGUA
ensembl:lncRNA